AGCCGUUGAUUUCCUUGUCAAUCACUCUGUAAAACCGAUGGUUUUGGAUACGAUUAUUGUUUCUCUGGUAAGGGGUCAGAUGUUCGAGGAAGUUGUUUUAGUGGUCAGUGUGAUCAAUAGACAUGGUUACAUUCUUCCUUUCAAAUGUUGCAAUAGAUUGGUGAGAUUUUUGAAGAUGAACAAGAGGAUUCUCGAUUUGAACCUUGUGAUUUUCUCCUCGUUUACUAGGUGCACAAAGAAUUUGGGGAGUAUCAAUUGAAUAAAACAAUUGGGUGGUGAUUCUUUGAUCAUAGGAAAAAGUAUGGGUAAAAAUUCAUCAAGAAAUUUGGGCUCUAGAAAGUUUAUUAUGAAGAAUAAAUGUGCAAAAAACAAUGCCUUACAUAGGUUGAAGAAAAUUGGUGUAGGGGAUGGGUACACUGAUUAUUUAGGGAAUAAAUUUGACCCCAAUAUUUGCACGCACAUUGGCUUGAUCAGGGCGUUGUGUCACAAAGGCAAGGUAGAAUUUGCUCCUAGGUUGAGAGAAAAAUUGCUUGUUGUUCCCGAUAUUGGUACUUAUAACUACAUGAUGAAUUGUCUCUGCAAACUGGGAUAUCUCUCAAAGGCAAAUAGGCUUUUGAAAGAGAUAAUGGAAUUGGGGUUGAUCCCCAAUUGUGUCACCUAUAAUACAUUAGUUGAUGAGUUCUGUAGAUUUAAUUAUAUAGACGGUGCUUUUGUUCUUCUAAAUUUUAUGGUGAUGAUUGGCAUCAAACCCAACAGAAUCACUUGUUAGUGCCCUUUGUAACAGGGGUCAAUUGGAAGAUGCUAAUAAGCUUUUAGCAAAGAUACUAACCGAGCAUGAAGCCUCUAAUCUGAUCACUAUGACCAUUCUUAUGAAUGGACAUUGCAGGGAAGGGAAUAUGCUUACGGCUCUUGAAUUAUGGGAUGAAAUGUUGAGAAAAGGUAUCUUGGUUGAUGUUGCUUCAUAUAUUUGCUUAUAGGUUCUUCUCUGAAAUGUUUAAGAAGGGAAUUUCCCCUGACAUUGUGACAUAUAAUACUCUCAUAAAUGGACACUGUAGAGAAGGGAAAUUGGUAGAAGCAUUCAGGUUGCACUCUAAAAUGUCUUCUAAUGGUGUUUUACCUGAUCACAUCUCUUAUGCAUUGGUUAUUCGAGGCCUUUACUUGCACGGAAAUGUAUGCAGAGCACAUCAGCUUCUCCACAAGAUGUUAGAUGAUUCUAUCCUUCCUGACCCUCUUUUGUGGAAUUUAGUUAUUGAUGGGUAUGGAAGAUGUGGAGAAACAGAGCUUGUAUUUGAGGUGAGAGAUCAUUUGUUAGCAUUAAGCAUGGCGCCCAACAUUUUCACCUACAAUGCUGCUCAUGUGAAGGAAGGAAAUCUUCAAGGAGCAUUCAUGUUGAAGGAAGAAAUGUUUGAGAAUGGGAUUCUUCCUGAUGUGGUUACGUACAACCUGCUUAUAAGUGAGUUGUGUAGUUUUGGUCAUGUGUAUUUGCAUUUCAAUUGCAUGAUGAAAUUAUAAGAAGAGGGUACGACCCUGACAAAUUCACUUAUACAGAGUUGAUUCGUGGGCUUUGUGUAAGUGGCAAAAUGCAUGAAGCCCAUGAGCUUUUGGUUAAGAUGAAGAACAUGGAUGUGCCUGUUGACCAUGUACCACACCCCAUACUUAUAAGGAAAUAUUGCAAAGAGAAGCAGUUGGAUAUUGCAUUUGAUCUCUAUGAGGAAAUGUUUGAAAAGGGUCUCCGUAGUAAGGCUUGUACCUAUCAUACCCUUAUUACUGAAUUGACGAAGAACGGUUUUUUUAAAGAAGCCCUGCAAGUAAAUCAUAACAUGGGUAUAGAAUCUGCAAUAUAGGAUAGAGAUUUCAUUGCUAUUUCAUCCAUGGAAGUCUCAUUGGGCACCUCUUAGAAUCCAUUUGGUUCCCAAAGCUGCUUCAUAGACAUGGGUUUUCCAUGUCAUGGGUGUACCCUGAUACAGCAUGGCAUGGGCAGUUCAAAAGAUACUCGGAUAUUUGAGCUUCUCCGGUGUACCAUGAGAUGAGCACAACACAUUUAAAUGGGUGCAUCAAGAUCGGGCUAAGGGCUCGUGAGAUAUUAUUCUUGUAUGGGGUACGGCCUUUCUCUUUCUGACAGAACCUCAUUAAAGAAAUGCAGUACCCACCCAAGUUAGAACCUCAUUAAAGAAUUGCACAAUUCCACCCAAGUGAUCUCACUUCUUGUUGCACUUCCUUUCUGAGACCACCACCGUGGGGAACCCUCAAUGGACCUAGUUUUUGAUGCACUUCAAGGAAGGUUCCUUCGGUUUUCACCACAGUCAUAAAAUGGACAAGGAGAGAAGUCACGUGUUUCGGGCCUCUUAAGGUGUUCUUUCCAACAGGCCAACUAGCCAGAGUGUGAAACCUUAAAUUCCUUUUCCAAAUGCCAUCCUUUUUCCUUAUACGUAAACUAUUAAACAUGAUUGUAAACCUUCUCCACAACACUAAUUUUGGAUUCUCUUCUUCAAAAUGAACAUCUAUAGGUUUGGGUGUUACGACAUCUACAAAAAGAAGAAGUUUGUGCAGAGAAAGUGGGACAUGUGAAGAUGCAUCAGUUCGUGAGGAACUAUGCUUCACUUCUCUGGGGUUCUGCACUCCUCUCCUCUGAUGCCCAUGGAUAAAGAGAUAAGAGUACAUAAAGCCAUGUACUGCAGAAAUAGAUGGAAAUCCAAGUAAAAUGACACUAUUUCUCUGUGACUACCAACAUGCUUUUCUCACACUGAUGUUCUUUAUUCAUGAACAUCAGUUUGUUGACCAAGAUUUGAGAGUGGCUUUGUCUGCGGACAGGUAUUUAUAAGAAAGAUGCAUAUGUUCAUGAGCAAAUUUCUUUGGUUAAGUGGCUAUUUCCCUAAUUGUUUUUGUGCUUCCACGAAAAACUGAAUUAAAGGAAACCUGGACCGAAAGUGGAAUAUCAAAUUGGAGUUGGAGUUGGAAUGAGAAAUUUGUAUCUUUGUAACCCUUGUAACCAAAUAACCUUACUAAGGCAUCUCAGAUACCCUGAUUUGAUACUGGAUUUAAACGGUAUGUUGUUUCUUACACUUUCCACAAUAGUAAAUAAUGUCCAGCACAAUUGGCAUCUUGAAACUCAAUUUGGGAUGAUAAGGGAGAGAAGCGUGAUCUACCAAACAUGCCCUUAAAAUACCAAAUAAUCAUUUGAACCAGUGAUGUGCAUGCACGAUAGGCUAAGAACAUGCACUUUUUGGGUGAUGUCAAUGACAUAUGAUGUCAAAUAAACAUAAUAGUACUGCUUUCUAAUACAUUUCCAUCAUCUUUGAAUGAACGGCCUUAUUGGCAGUGAGAUUAGCAAGUGCAAGGAUAACCUUUUUCAUAUCUUAUUGGCUUAUAAAAUAUCCAUUUUAAGGCCUAAGAACUUCAAGUUGUAAGAAAUGUCAUUACACCUUGAUCCUUCAUUUCAAACUUCCUCUCUAGGAGAUGUUGGUAGUGAUCUAUACCCUCGUGGUCACCCUCGACAGCAUGUCAUCAACGUAAACUGGUUGUAAAACAACACAUUAGUACGUUGAAAGAGGCGUUAUACCCACUCUGAUUCAAUCCAACAUGAAUAAUGUAAUGAAAUUUCUCGAACUGCAUGCUAGGUGGUGAUUAGCAGGUCACAAAUUUAGUGGUGAUUAGCAGGUCACUGGAGAGUGCAGGAGCAAGUGACUGGCUUCUUUAUUCGUAGAAAUAGAGUUCCGUGGAAGUGUCAGUAUAGAUUUGAAUGGAGUAGGCUUAUUCUAGUGCCAGACUGUCUUUGGCAAGCAUAUUCACAUUUUACUUUAUGGAUUUUGAGCUAAUUCUUUCUUACUGGAUAAUGCAAACCAUAAUACCAUGAGCCUUGGAAGAUGCAAAAUAGUUAAUGCUGAAAAAUCAAUUGGAUAAUGAGAUUUAAUGCAUAUUUUAAUUGGAGAAUGUGGACUUGGAUUCAUCAAUUAAUUUUGAGCAAUAUCUGAAGAGUUUUAACCAAGUUUAUUCUAUCUUCUCUAUAAAGUUAGGUGGAUCUUCGCUUCAAAUCUUUGUGUUGCCCACAGUGUUCUCAUUUAAGGUAUAAGGAAGGCUUGAAGUUGUCGUUUUUUGUUUUUAUUAAUAACUUUUGGCAUUUGACAAGUUAACUUCAUUUUACAGACCAUGUGGCCCAUGGGAAUUCUGUACUGGGCAAAGGUUGCCUUCUGAGUUCAAUGCCUGCCCUUAGAGAAGUGGUCCAUGUAAUUCCAAUGUUUGCCUUACAUGACGUAUACACAAUUAUCAGUUGGACAUGCCCUUGGUGAUAUACACAGCUUCACUAUUCAAGUAUGACUUGCAAAGAUACAAUUGGCAAAUCUUUCCAGUGGCAUACAUCUAUUUCACUCACGUGGUAGCUACUAAUUGGAAAAGGGAUUGUAUACUAUGAGACCAUUCAACUUUGGUAUAAGGACGUCACAAUCAUCCCUAGCAGUCGAUUGUAAACUCUAAUGGCAUGGGGUGCGUCACAAAGUUUAAAAUGUUUUCUUUGAGACUUUUGAGCUAGUCAAUGGCACUCAAUUCAACCACCUGAUUUGAUGUCCAAUGUCUGAGGGUAAUUGUGACCUCCCUAUAUCAAAUGUAAAUGGUUUUAUUUUAUACUUUCCCUUGAAAAAAUUGCUUUCUUUUCUUCCCUUGUACUUUAUAACAUGCACAAUUAUAUGUGUCUUGCAUCGAAUUGUUGUUAUUGUUGUAAAUGUAUUUUGGUUUGAUAAGUUAUGAAAAAGUAAAUUUUUGGAGUAUAUGGAGCGAAGUCUUUUUGUAUUUGGAACAUGACAAUGACGAAGGUUGUCGAUGCCAGUGGGCCACCAGGACUUCCAAGUUUGUUAUAGUAAGGCUGUCACUGGACGGAUUUCAGUGUUAUGCUUUUCACCUGAUGAGGAGCUCAACAGUCAUCCAAAAGAAAAGACUCUCUCAAGACUUGUUCUUGGCAGCGAGCCCAGCCUGUCAUUGCGAAUGAAAGCUAGUGAGCAUCGGAUCAAAAGGUGGUAGGUUCUCUCCAAUUAAUGGAACAUCCAACAAAUCACUGGUACAUACUUGAAGCCGAGGAAAAUCCCCAGGCUCGAUGAACUUUAAUACUCCCAAACUCUGUGAGAACUUGAGGCCAACAUGAAACCCAAUGCUGAAGAAUAUCGGAAAGUACAAUAAUGUUGCCUCUGAAGAACUUCCCCUCUAGGCCUUCUUCCAAACUUGAAAGGUGCUAGAGCAAUUCUUGGACAACCUUCUCUUGUUCAUCUCGCUCUGAGUAUGACAUUCUCCAUAGGAGAGGAAGCAUCUCUAAAACCCAAAAAGAAAAGAGAAGUAUGAGAUAGAAUGUAGUAUUUUAGAAUGUAGUAUGUUCACAUAGAGGUUCAUUGGUCACACAUUGUUGUCUGGUACAGCCUUAAUUUGCAUGAAAUUUGUGUCGUUUGCCAAUUGAUGACAAUGGAAAGAGGAAAGUAUGUAUCAUAGAAUGUUUAUGCAUUUGCACUGGCCAGAGUGAGAGAGGUACUAUGGAGAAACAUUUCAUACAUGAAUGGUAUGGCAUAGGGUAUGCAGAAUGGA